rnacentral:lncRNA from 1 species
GGCCAAAGGGCGAAGGUCACCGGGGGGGGGGAGAAGAGAGUGAGAGCGGAGAGCUGAGCGCCGAUUGGCUGGAGGGCUGGCGCCAGCGUGACGGCGCGGCCGAUCAUGUGACCUCAGGCGGAAGUAGGCCUUGGGGGCCGUCGGGGCGCGAAGCGGGGCCUGGACCGGGCCGAGCCCCCCCCCCGGUCCCCGUUACCGGCGUCAUCGGCUGGGGGGCGGGCACCCCCCCCGGAGCUCGGGCCCCCGCGGGAGGUUCCCCUGCUCCAGCGCUGUUUUAAGGCCCACGGGGCGGCGCCGGGGGAGCCUGGGCGGGCCGCGGCCUUGUCCCGGGUUGCCUGUCCCCUUCCCGGGCCCUUGACUUCCCAGCGACGCUUGGUGGUUACACGUUAGGGUAGUUGGUGAAUGCAGGCGAGGUCUCUGGCAGCUCCUCCAUCUUCUGUGAAUCCUUGGGGAUGGUUUUGCCAGUCAAGCCCCCUCUCCUCACUCUGGCUGGACCCCCGAGUCCCCCCGGUCCCCUCCACCAGCCCCAGGAAGCGGGAGUGCGUGGUACCGGUCACGCAUGCCCGUGUCUUUGCCCUCCUGCCUGGUGAGUCUUCAAGUGUUGCGCGUUCAGCUGUUACUUAUCAGAAAAAGGCACUGGGGGCCCUUUUGCAGGAAAAAAAAAGGGGGGGAAAAAAAAACAACAAACCCAGGGUUAUCACUUGGCCUCGGCGGGUUUUGGACCAGCGGGGAUCAGUGAUAAUACAUUGUAUUGAUCCAAGCCGGCAAAGGAUCGCGUCUUAUCAGAGCUGCACGUACCGGCGGCUGGCAAGUGCCCCAUAAGUGCCAGUUUGGGCUCUGAUCUGUCAAAUAGCUCCGGUGGAGCAGAGUCCAGGCCAGCUCAUGUGCUAAUUACCGGAGCACGUCUGAUGCUCGACCAAACGGCCUUUUAAUUGAGCCUUCUAGGUUGAUAGUGUGCCCCAGACAGCACGUAACCCACCUUUCCCCCUGAGCCUGAUGCUGCCGCUCGCCAUGGGGACGAGGUUCCACAUCAAAGUGUUCGGCUGUCCUAUUAAGCCCCUUUAACUCAGCAGUUUUUAUAGUUAUUUAAGAGACGAUAAGGUUGAAGCAGAUGCGGUCAUUUUCGGGAGACUUUGAA